rnacentral:rRNA from 1 species
GACGAACGCUGGCGGCGUGCUUAACACAUGCAAGUCGAACGAAGAGCGAUGGAAGCUUGCUUCUAUCAAUCUUAGUGGCGAACGGGUGAGUAACGCGUAAUCAACCUGCCCUUCAGAGGGGGACAACAGUUGGAAACGACUGCUAAUACCGCAUACGAUCCAAUCUCGGCAUCGAGACUGGAUGAAAGGUGGCCUCUAUUUAUAAGCUAUCACUGAAGGAGGGGAUUGCGUCUGAUUAGCUAGUUGGAGGGGUAACGGCCCACCAAGGCGAUGAUCAGUAGCCGGUCUGAGAGGAUGAACGGCCACAUUGGGACUGAGACACGGCCCAGACUCCUACGGGAGGCAGCAGUGGGGAAUCUUCCGCAAUGGACGAAAGUCUGACGGAGCAACGCCGCGUGAGUGAUGACGGCCUUCGGGUUGUAAAGCUCUGUUAAUCGGGACGAAUGGUUCUUGUGCGAAUAGUGCGAGGAUUUGACG